rnacentral:tRNA from 1 species
GCGGAUAUAGAUUAAUGGUAGAUUCCCUGCCUUCCAAGCAGGUUGUGUGGGUUCGAAUCCCGCUAUCCGCA